AUGAUUUUAUGACUUAGAGCCUUUGCAGCGUAGGGAGCUGCUAGUGGGCUUGAGAACAGGAGCAAAGAUAGAGGAACAGAAGAGUGAGCCAUGGGCUCCUGUCACUAAGCAAAAAGAACUUCUGGGAUUGAAAGAACAAGAGCAAAUGGUGUUAAACUGAAAGAGGGGAGAUUUAGGUCUGACACCAUCUGGGGCCGGUUCUAUGCUAUGCAGGCACUGUUCAAAAGGAGUUCAGCAGCUUUGUGGCCAAGCGUGAGAUGACAGUGUUGAAAAUGAAGGAAGCAAAUCAUAAAUAAUUGCCUUGUGAACCAAAUUGUGACGGUUUGAGCCAGUGGAAGAGACUUCAAUAGUGCAAGAGCGGCUAUCUGUUCUCUUGGAAGCAUUCGAGAAGCACUAAAAUUGUCCAUAAAGUGAUGUUUUGAAGACUAGUCCAGCUGUUUCCAGUGCCUAUCUUUCAUUCCUCAGAGUGGACGGCCUCCUUUUUGAAUGUUGCUGCAUGGAGGAACUCAAUGCUCCAGACAAGCAUUUUCAAAGAUAGCUAUCUGCUGCAGUCAGAAGAAGACUGGCAAACUGUGAUCAUGACUGGAAAGAGAACUUGAAAACUGAGCUCAUAAAUACACUGAAGCUAAAAAAGAAUCAAGGCGAAAAGAAUACCAUGUAUUAACAUUUUCAAAACAUCAAGCUGUGGAGUGCACCACUAUAAAGAACGUGUCUCCAUCUUCUUGAUGAUCAUCUUGUAGGUAUGGGAAGGCUGCUGUUAGUUACCACCCCCAAAGAAUGUUCUUUUCCAGAUGUGAACAAACACAGUGCCCGGAGUAUCUCCUUACAGUGCCAUUGCUCUACCUCUCUGACCAUCUUUGUGGUUCUUCGCUGAAACUGCUCCAGUUGACUGAUGUAUCUGUCCUCUUGAAAGGGUACAAAAGGAGUGGUUUUAUAAAUGCGGGCUAAUUUAAUUCUGAGUAGAGGAGGAUAAUUGUGGAAUCAUAGAAUACUGUGACUUGGAAGGGACCCAAGUCUUUGACUCCAGCUCCUGCCUCUACACAACUUAGGGGUUAAACCGUGUAUCUUAAGAACAUUGUUCAAAUGUUUUUUGAAUACUGACAGACCCCUUUAAGGCUUCCCUAGAUGGUGCUAGUGAGUCUGCUGGUUUGCCAUGGCUGCACCCUGGCCAGAAGGCUGUUGCCAGGAAGAAUGUGAAGACCCAGACCCAGAGGUCGCACAGCAACAUGCUAGUGCACAGGUCUGUGUCUGCAGUGAGUGCUAGAGCCUGGCCCUUGCAGCACAGGGCAAGAGAGAUAGCAUCUGUGUUAGAUGCAACCAGCUGAUGGAUUUACGUAGCCUAGUAACUGACCUGAAGGAGGUGGUGGAGAUGCUGAGAAGCAUUAGGGAGUGUGAAAGGGAGAUAGAUUGGUAAUGCCAGUCCCUGCCAGCCCUGACAUCUAGGCAUCCAUCUGAGGCUCCAUAUGAAGCACAUCACCCCUUACUGCCUUGCAAACAGGUAACAGGAGGAGACCAUCAGGCAGACAGUGUUCCUGCUACAGUGAGCUCUUGUGUUCUCCUCCUCCUAACAAAAAUGAUGGUGAAGUGGGGGCAGGGGACAAUGGCAAAAGGUUCAUGUUCAGUGAUGCAGGCACACCUGCCCAUCAAUUCCUCCACCUCCCCAGCUGCCCCUGCAGAACAGAUACAGUGCUCUUCAGGGACAGCUGGACAGUGGUGGGGAUGAUGGUUCUUCCUGCUUAGAGGUGUCAUCAAGACUAGGCUACCCUUAACAUUAAAACCUUCUCAGUAAAGAAAAAAGAUGAGUCGUUGUUGUUGGUGACUCACUGCUGAAGGGAGCAGAAGGCCCAAUAUGCAGACCAGAUCCACUACACAGGCAGGUCUGCUGCCUCCGGGGGUUCAGAAGAUAGAAGGGAGAAACUUCCUUUCUUAUUAUGGCCCUCAGAUUAUUAUCCCCUAUUGUUGUUUCAGGUAGGCUGUGAUGAAAUAGGAAGGACUAUUAAGAAGCACUUCAGAGUCUUGGGGCAGCUGGUCAGAGGUUCAGGAGCACAAGUGCUCUCCUCUAUUCCUCCAGUUAUAGGGAAUGAUGAGGGACUGAACACGAUGGACCAACAGAUGAAUUCUUGGCUCUGAGCCUGGUGUGCCCAGCAGGGAUUUGGGUUUUUUGGCCUUGGCUCAAUUUACAUGAGACCAGGCCUGCUAGCAAUCAAUGGGAAUAGCUUAUCCCUCUGGUGGAAAGGGGUUUUAUGAUGGGAGUUGGCAAGGUUCAUUGAUAGAGCUUUAAACUAGGUAUGAAGAGGGAUGGGAGUGAAACCAAGGUCACUAGAAAGGAGCCUGUAUAUUAUAUGCCAGGGCUUGUGGGAGGAAGAUGUGCUAGUAAGAUCUUACAGUCCUGUGUCUUGGUGAGGGAGAACAACACACCUUUUUGUAGGAAGAAUAGAAGGGUUAGUGUGAGGCUGGUUGCUACAGAAACAUGUAAGUAUGGUCAAGAGUGUAUUAGGGUUUCUCCCACUCAAAUGGUGGCUCAUCUUCACUGCAUUUAGAGUAAUGCAUGCAGCAUGGGUAGCAAACAGAAGGAGCUGGAGGCCAUUGUGCUGCCAGGAAACUAUGAUAUAGUAGUUACCAACACAGAAAUAUGGUGGGAUGACUUGUAUAGCUGGAGAGCUGCGAUUGAUGGCUACCAACUCUUCAAAAGAGAUAAGCAAGACAGGAAAGGUGGUGGUGUGGCCCUCUAUGUUAAGAAAAAAUGUGAAUGUCUGGAAACUAAUGAUGGUGAUGAUAGGGUUGAGAGCCUAUGGGUCAGAAUCAAAGGGGAGGCCAGUAAGACUGACAUUAUUUUGGGAGUCUGCUACAGGCCACCCAACCAGGAUGAAAAGGUGGAUAGGAUACUUCAUAGACAAUUGGGUGAAGAAGUCCCGAGGUCUACCCCUUGUUCUCAUGGGGGACUUCAACUUCCCAGACAUUUGCUGGACAUAUAAUACAGGAGAAAGGGAACAGCCCUAGGUGUUCCUGGAGUGUGUGAGAGAUAACUUCCUGACACAGAUGGUGAAGGAGCCAAUAAGGGGAAGCAAAAUCCUGGACCUGCUAUUUGUUAACAGAGAAGAUCUUGUUGAAGGGGGAUGUAAAGGUUGGAGGCUGUCAGGGGCAAAGUGAUCAUGAAAUGAUAGAACCACAGAGGGGAAUCAGCAGAACUGCCACCUUGGAUUUCUAGAGUGCAGACUUUGGUCUGUUUAGGACCAUGGUCGAGAGAAUUCCUUGGCAGGUAGUUUUGGAGGGCCUGGGAGCCCAGGAAGGCUAGGAAUACUUCAAGGAAGUUAUUUUAAAUGUACAGGAGCUGACCAUCACCAUAUCACAGAAGACAAGCUGAUGGUGAAGGAGACCAGUUUGGCUGAACAGAGAUCUUUGGCUGGAACUUGGGAACAAAAGGAAAAAUUAUGGUCUUUGAAAGAGGACGCAAACAACUUACGAGGAUUAGAAAUACUGAAGCUGUGCAGAAAGGCCGAAGCCCAGGUAGAACUGAACUUCGCCACUAAGGUGAAAGGUAACAAUAAAUAUUUCUAAUGUUGCUGCAGAGACCAGACUCAGGGCAGGUAAGACUGCACUGGGCUAGGGAUCUAAACCAAAAAGGGCUGACAAAAAGGGGGCUUUUUUAGGGCUUUUCUGAAGCCAGCAAAAGCACUGCAAUCGGUGGUGGAUCCCUUGGCCUGUCCCUGUCGGUCUGGAGGGGGGACCUGAGGGACAGAGAGGACUGGGUGAGGGUCCCUGCUUGAUAUCAUGGGCAAACCCCUCCUGUCUACCUUGCAUCCCAGGUCUCCCUAAGCAAUAGGUUUGCAGCACUGGACACUGAAGGGGAGGUGACUGAGAAGGUGUGGGAAGGCUCCCCUAAGAGGUUACCAAGGGCGAGGCAGUCUACUCCAAGUGUUGAGACUGCCUCUGCCAGGAAAGAAAAAAGGGUGGUUGUGGUAGGCAACUCUCUUAUCAGAGGAACAGAGGGCCCCAUUUGCAGACCGGCACUGAGCCGUAGGGAAAUGUGCUGCCUUCCUGGGGCCCGUGUCAGGGUCAUAACUAGAAAACUCCCAAAGCUGGUUCACUCCCAUUACUCCUAGUUCAGGUGGGCAGUGAUGAAAUUGCUUGGAGAAACUUGGUAGCUAUGGAAGGAGAUUUCAGGGGGUUAGAGUGCAUAGUUCAAGGAGCAGAAGCGCAAGUGAUGUUUUGUUCUAUACCUUCUGGGGUGGUGAAGGACAUGGAGCGGGCUACGAAAACACAGGUGAGCAGCAGAUAGAGCAGUGCAACAUCACCUCUUGCUGGUCCAGCCUAGGUGGAGGCCCCUGGCACUGCCAGGAAAUCAUCUUCACUGCCUGAAUCCUGCUGUGUUGCCUUUCCAGCAGAUGUCAGAGACACUGAUGUUCCUCCUCCGUAUAUGCCUGUUAUUCAGAGUCUUUCUUGAGCUGUUUAUGGAAGCCUUUACCUACUUCCUUAUGCUGAUCCAUAGACUUUAGCCUGCUCAUCAUCCCUGCUGGUCUGUUCUGUGAUCCCCACACACACAAGCUGUGGACCAGCCAGUCUGUAGCUGGUCCUGAGCAGAGUUCCAUGCAUCCAAGUCAUUCUUCCACAGAGAGGACAGCCCCUCUCCUUGUCCUCCAUGCCACUGUUUCUUGCAGGGUUUCUGCCACCCACCGUGGUGCUUCAGUCAUGCAUGUUGUCUGACCGUGUCCCAGUUAUGCCAGUUAUGGUUCUGUAAACUUGCACACAAGUUCUAGUUUUUCCUGCUUGCUUUCCACGCUGCACUCAGUUGUCCAUGUACUCACAGCAGUGCAGGAAUAUUUAACUGAUCUUUUGUUAGCACUAGACCAACUUAACUGCAGUCUGUAAAUAUGUUUAUAAUUUAUUGAAAGAGUCUUAUAAAGAUAUAAAAUAUUGUAUUUUUGUGAUACAUGCAUGCGCUCACACUUUAUCUUAAAAGUCAAUUACUAAUUCCCAAAAUAAAUAAAAUGCUUUAUUUCCUAAGUCACAGCUCCUGAAUCAAGCGUCCUCCAUUGCAUCUUAAACAGGUUUACCAGGCUGAUGCUGUCUGCUUAAUUACUUUUUAACAAGUUUCCAUUCAAAAAUGUCUUUUGUCAUGUAUAUUGUGUUAUGGGUAAACAUACGGCUUGUUUCCUGCCUGUCUUUCUUUUCUAUUGUUAUUAACAUGAGAAAUAAUGGUCCAAAAAUUAUUUGAAGGAAUUGGUUGAAAUUGCUCUCAAAAAAAAUAAACCAGUUGAUGAAAUGUAUUUCAUUUAGUUUGUGCAAUUUAAUACCAAGCACCAUACAGAAGUGUCACAAAAGGUGUGGUUUUGAAAAUUCCUCUCAAAGCGAAGAAGGGACAGCCUAUUAGUGAACAGUUUCUGUUCACUAAGUGCAGUUGUUGGAGAAGACUUUGGCACAAAUUGUGAAACAUCAGAGCUUUAUCAUAAAUAAAUCAACUUCUUUUGCAA